GGGCACUUGUGCGCCUGCACCUCUUGGCAGGUGAAUGCACACCUAUGGAGGGGCCUGGGUGCUGGCAGCGAGCCCCGCUCCCUGCGGCUGUGCCAGGCCCAGAGGCGGCAGCGAGCCCAACAGGUCAGACAGGUGGAGCCAGGCUGGGGAAGCUGCAGGACCAGAGCUGACAUCCGAUCAAUCCAAGGUCCUUCUUUGGCCCACAGAGCAGGUGCUGGGGAGAGGCAGGACAGGCCUGUCCCCCGAGUCCCCUCCGGAUGCCGUGGACCGGCCAGCUGUGAGUGUUUCUUUGGCAGUGUCUUAGCUGGUUGUUGUGAGCAAUAGUAAGGAAGCAAUCAGCAAGUAUACUGCCCUAGAAGUGCUGCACGUUGUGGGGCCCAAGAGGGAAGAUGAAGCGAGAGAUGCCCAGACCAGUGGGAGACGCCAGGACUUCGGAAGCUCUUCUGCGCCACGGUGGGUGGUGAGGGCGGCUGGGAAAGUGAGCUCCAGGGCCCCAGGAGCAGCCUGCUCGUGGGUGCGGAAGGAAAAAGGCACAGGGGCUUGGUGUGGGCGGCUUUUGGCUGGGAGAAGUUUGCACGUAGGGAGAAUAGUAGCCAGUGUUUGCAGAGCACUUACUAUGCAGGAAGGCCUGUCCUAAGUAUUGUAAGUGUAUUACAUCAUGUACAAGUGUCUGUGAUUAACCCCGUCUUGCAGAGAAGGAAACAAAAGUACAAACAGAAAAUGUAACUAAGCAUGCAAUUAAUAAAAAGGGACCAGGUUUUGAACGCGAGCAAUCUGGCUCAAGAAUCUGCGCCCAACCACCGGCUCCUGUUCUUAGAGAUGAACGUGGAGUCCUGGAGACUGCUCAACAUUGUGACUUGACUGUGAGCGUACGCGCUCCCUGUCCCCAGGAGACAGAUUUCCAGUGCAAUCAUAGAAAGUGCCUGUGUGGGCUUCGGGAGAUGUGUCUGCCUUGGGGAGAAUUUUCCUUUUCAGCUAGAGCCAGGCCCAGGAUGUUGACGUCAGUGAGACGCUGGUGACGUUCUCUGCUCCAGUGGCUGAUGAGAAAAGUUCCUCCAAGCCAGCUCAGUUGAGAAGAAUUAAGUUCUCUGGGUCCCACUGGCUUCACCUACAGAUGCCAACUUUGAGGCCAGUGAACUGUGAGGCCAGCUGGGCUGAUUGCCAUGGCAACAGGAAUUGGACCAAAGUCACCGGAGGAUGGAGAGGGAAGACACAGUGGUGGCUUCCCCAGGUCUUGGACCACAAGGCACAGCCGUGGCCUCCAGGAACCCUGAGAUAACCCGUUAGUGGGUCCUGCACUCCAACAGAGCUCAUGCAAUCAGCCUCUGGUCCUCACCCUCCUCCCAUUGGUGUCGUUGUGCUCUCUAACAUUGACAUUGAGCAGUGAGUGCUCCAGAUCUUGUUCCACUGAUUUUUUCCACUGUUCUCCAGUCUAGCACUUUCUGAAAUUCAUCCAAGCCUAAGAGGUGACGCCAAACGUAAGUGUCUUACACCUCGGACCCCAUGGACUAAGACAAGCCUCUGGGGUCCAUGUGGCACCAAGGAUGGGGCCUUCUAGUACCUUUCACACAGGCCAGGGACAGCACCUGCUGCGACCCCCACCCCCAGCCUCUGCUGCUUCUCCCGUUGCCCUUCCAGCCACUGCCCUGGGCACCUCCCCUGCUCCCGCCUCCCUGCCUGGGCCCAUCUUUCUUUGCACCUCACCAAUUGCGGGGCUUCCUAGUGCUGGAGGGGAAGGGAGCCUGCUUCCAUUCUCACCACUCUGAAAGAAGACCCUGCAGAGAGGUUUUCUGGAAUUUGGAGCCUAACCUUGGCCUUGACACAGUCCAGAUGAGAAGGCCGUCCCCCAGUUAAGCCAGCCCUCCCUCCCUCUCAAUGCUGGAGAGGAAACCAGGCAGCUGGUUGCUUCAGCAAACCCCCUCCCUAUGGGAAUUGUCCUUUUCUUCCUCAAAUAGACUGGAGUGCAGAGGACUUGCUUCAGAGAGAGCCCCUUUGUAACGCACAUUGCACGGGCCGUGCCCCAUGCCCACUCUGCCACAAACUCCCCUCAGCUGCCCAGCCCCGUGGAGCCAGGCGUGGGCUGAAGUGGGGCCAAUGAAAUGCCUGGAAUGCCAGCCGCAGUGACAGGCCAGCACUCAGAUGCCUCUCGGGAGUUCUGACCGAAGCAGCACUGAGGACUGCUUCAGAGCAGAAGUCUACGCCAUUUUCCCCAGUUCUAGGCAGAAGUAAAGAAUGUCUCUACCUUCUCCCAACCAGCAAUUGAUUCAGAGUCCUGAGCUUUUAAAUUAAAGGGACCCCUCUGUUGCUUUAUGCAGUAGCCAGCUUAUUCAUUUGAGUUCAGGUGAAAUCAUUUUCAAGUAACCUCUUCCUAUCCAGCUUUACUUUUAGUUAUGCUGACAUAAAAACAAUAAAAAUUGUCCUCCUCAGAGUUCACCUGUAAAAGUUCCUGGAUAAUUAGUAAGGAAACAGAAAGAGCAGAUAGUUGUUGCUUCAGAUAAAAGUGAUGUCUGGGUUGGGCACGGUGGCGCAUGCCUGUAAUCCCAGCACUUGGGGAGGCCCAGGUGGAUGGAUCCCUUGAGCUCAGGAGUUUCAGACCAGCCUGGGCAACAUCUCUACAAAAAAUACAAAAAUUAGCCAGGCAUAGUGGCAGGACUGUAGUCCCAGCUACUCAGGAGGCUGAGGUCAGGGGAUGGCUUGAGCCCAGGAGGCACAGAUUGAAGUGAGCUGAGAUUGCGCCACUGUAUUCCAGCCUAGGUGACAGAGCCAGACCCUGUCUCAAAUUAAAAAAAACUCUUUGUGGUCAUUUAAUUUACUUCUGCAUUCUUUUUUUUUUUUUUUUGAAAUGGGCAGUGGUACCAUCUCAGCUCACUGCAACCUCUGCCUUGGGGGUUCAAGUGAUUCUCCUGCCUCAGCCUCCCGAGUAGCUGGGAUUACAGGCACCCGCCACCACGCCCAGCUAAUUUUUGUAUUUUUAGUAGAGACGGGGCUUUGCCAUGUUGACCAGGCUGGACUCAAACUCCUGACCUCAGGUGAUCCGCCCACCUCGGCCUCCCAAAGCACUGGGAUUACAGGAAUGAGCCACUGCACUCGGCCUACUUCUGCAUUCCUUAGAGUACAUCCUAGCUAGGAUAUAUUCACUUGUCUUUAGAGCUAACAGCAGAAGAAAGGUACCUAGAUGCUUAUCUAGCUCUUUAUCUUUCUAGAAAUUCUAGAAGAUGAGAGGGGCAGUGGUGGCUCCAAGGGAGUGAUUUUAGGAUGGACUGGGACAGAGAGGGGCUGCUUACACAUACUCACACAGAGGCCAUUAAUUUAGGGAGUUCAAGGUCCAGGAGGUUGACGGCAUCUAGGCCUGUGGCAGAGUGCACUCCUGCUUUGGGGAAUGUAUGGGCAGCUUCUUGCCUGUAGUUGGAGGGUUAGAGAGAGGGAUCAAUAAUUUCAUGGUUGGACUUGAGUUUGGAGCGAGUGGAGUUAGAUACAAAUUCUAUGUUUUUGGAGAAAGUAUUUGAUCUUCUUGGCUGUGAGGCAAAGCGAGGUUUAAAAAUAUUUUUCACUUAAAAAUAUAUAUAUAUGCAUGUAUAUUUAAUACUGUCUAUGGAUUGUGCCAAUAUCUAUUUCAUGGUUUUGAUAUUGUGUAGUUAUACAAGGAGUUACCACUGAACGAAACUGGGGGAAGGGUACACAGAAUCUCUGUACUUUUUUUGUUGUUGUUGCAAUUUCCUGUAAAUCUAUGAUUAUUUUAAAAUAAAAAAGUUAAAGCAUACGUAUUUACAUUUGAUUAAAUGCAGUGUGAUAUCCUGGGUUGGAUUUUGGAACAAAACAAGGCAUGAGUGAAAAAACUGGUAAAAUCCAAAAAAGCCUUUAGUUAAAAGUAAUACCAGUGUUAAUUUCUUAGUUUUGACAAAUGUGCCAUGGCUGUGUAAGAUGCAAAUGUUAGAGGAAACUGGGCGAAGAAUUUGAGGGAACUCUCUGUACUAUUCUUUGCAGCUUUUCUGUAAAUCUACAAUUAUUCCAAAAUAA
rnacentral:lncRNA from 1 species